rnacentral:rRNA from 1 species
GGUCAUGGAUGGGGAUGCGUCUGAUUAGCUUGUUGGCGGGGUAACGGCCCACCAAGGCGACGAUCAGUAGGGGUUCUGAGAGGAAGGUCCCCCACAUUGGAACUGAGACACGGUCCAAACUCCUACGGGAGGCAGCAGUGAGGAAUAUUGGUCAAUGGACGAGAGUCUGAACCAGCCAAGUAGCGUGCAGGAUGACGGCCCUAUGGGUUGUAAACUGCUUUUAUACGGGAAUAAAGUGGCUCACGUGUGGGUUUUUGUAUGUACCGUAUGAAUAAGGACCGGCUAAUUCCGUCCCAGCAGCCGCGGUAAUAUGGAAGGUCCGGGCGUUCUCCGGAUUUAUUGGGUUUAAAGGGAGCGUAGGCCGCCGAUUAAGCGUGUUGUGAAACGCCGCAGCUCAACUGUGGCACUGCAGCGCGAACUGGUUGGCUUGAGUGCGCGGAAGGCAGGCGGAAUUUGUGGUGUAGCGGUGAAAUGUUUAGAUAUCACGAGGAACCCCGAUUGCGAAGGCAGCUUGCCGCAGCGUAACUGACGCUGAAGCUCGAAAGUGCGGGUCUCGCACAGGAUUAGAUCCCCUGGUAGUCCGCACGGUAAACGAUGGAUGCGGGGUGUUCCGGUUUUAAAUUGGAGUGCCCAAGCGAAAGCGUUAAGCAUCCCACCUGGGGAGUACGCCGGCACCG